rnacentral:rRNA from 1 species
GUGGGGAAUUUUGGACAAUGGGCGCAAGCCUGAUCCAGCCAUUCCGCGUGCAGGAUGAAGGCCUUCGGGUUGUAAACUGCUUUUGUACGGAACGAAAAGCCUCUGGUUAAUACCCGGGGGUCAUGACGGUACCGUAAGAAUAAGCACCGGCUAACUACGUGCCAGCAGCCGCGGUAAUACGUAGGGUGCGAGCGUUAAUCGGAAUUACUGGGCGUAACGCGUGCGCAGGCGGUGAUGUAAGACAGUUGUGAAAUCCCCGGGCUCAACCUGGGAACUGCAGCUGUGAAUGCAUUGCUGGAGUGCGGCAGAGGGGGAUGGAAUUCCGCGUGUAGCAGUGAAAUGCGUAGAUAUGCGGAGGAACACCGAUGGCGAAGGCAAUCCCCUGGGCCUGCACUGACGCUCAUGCACGAAAGCGUGGGGAGCAAACAGGAUUAGAAACCCGAGUAGUCC